GUUUUCAGACUUACCUUUCUGUAUCAGAUAUCCCAACCAUUUCCUGGCUUCAAUCAUCAUUGCUCUACUUCAAUCCUCAUCUUGUUAUUUGCCAACUAGUACAACAUCUCCAAUGGCCUGCUGACCAAGCAAAGUGAGACAGAGCCAAAAUACAAGAAAUGAAGUUCAUCCUGCCUAAAAACGUGUUCACCACCUACUAAUAUCAUCUUUCCAUUUUUGGCUAUCAGAAUACUAUUCAGUUCUACAUGUAAGGAACUGGGAAGUCACCACUCCAUCCUAACAGGCCUGCCCUCAGGAGAAACUGGCUAAUCAGAGCCUGACCUGCCGGGUGUUACUGAGCCUAACUGACCUGGAGGACAGGGAACACCAACCGCAGCCCAUUCCAGCCAUUCUGUCCCACUGAAGCGGGGAGAGAAAACCUGAGAAACACUUGUCAAGUUCAGCGUCCCAGAGGCACAGGCUCACUAAGGGCUGGCGCAAUCACGGGACUACACAACACUGCCCCCGCCCACAUUACUAAAGGCCUAUUUACAACAGUUCCUUUUACCCAAUACAUCUUGUCCAGCUAUCAAAAAAAAUUAGCAGGCAUACUGGCAUACUGUCUCACCUGAGGGUGUCAGUCCCAGACAAGUUCACUGUGGAUUUGGUGAGACUGAAAAGUGACAACAGAACAUUCUUGGGGUAAAAGUGUUUAUACCUGGCUUUAUUCUCAUGGCAGUAUGUCAAGCAUUAGAAUCACGUCUGCAUCCGAAGUCUGCAGGUCUGUAAUCCUCCUCCAUCUCUGCCUCCAUCCAGAGCACUGGGCAGAGCACUUUCUAUGAGUGACUCAGUCAAGGAUAGCUUAUUGCCUACGGGUGUGGAAGCAGUAGCCUAGCAGCAGACCAAUUACAUCAUCUGAUAGUUUGGGGUCAGGUGAAGGUACUGGCCAUAGAAACUUCCAUUUUCCCCACACAUAACAAAAGGCAAGAAACACAACUUGAAGAGACACAGCAAGCAUGAGAACCCAAUGUGGCAGGGAUGUUGACAUUAUAGAUUCAACAGUAGUUUCGGAAAUAAGAUCAGGAUUUAAAUCUGCUUUAUAACUUACUAAUGCAUUUCUUCGAGCUUUAGUUUCCCCAUCUGUGAAAACACGUCACUAAUACCUUACUUCAAAUGAGCUUUUGAGGCCUGUGUGAAUGAAUUCCAGAACAGGGAAGUCUGACCGGCAUAGUGGACUCCAUCACCAGCCAGCACCUCCAUUCUGCAUCCCCUUCACUUACCUACUUGCUUUGCCAGUCAUUGUGGAUGCUGUGACUCCAUCUCCCAAAAUACAUUUAAUGUCCCCCCUGCUCCCUGCUUGAAUGAUAUUCGAUUCUCUACUCUAAAGUAACUAUAAUGAACAACAGGUAAAUUAUUUGAAAAAAACUCAAAUAUUCUAUUCUUUCUAUAAAUUUUUUCCAGAAAAUGUAUAGCUACAGUAUAUCAUUGCUAUAGUCUCAUUACUGUGUGGUUGAGGGUUUCUGUGUACUGUUUUCUUUUUGGUGUAUUAAUUAAAUAAGCACAGUGAUACUUCUACUUUAUGUCAAAUAGCUUCUGUUAUUCAGAGAUCUCUGUACACCUGUUAAGUUAAUGAUGCAGCUCUAAAAAUACCUUUCAAAAUUGGAUAUAGAAUACUGAAAUGUCAGCUUUGUUAUUUUGUGUUCUCUGAAACAAUAUUUUGUUGGACCAAAAUCAAUUCAGAAAGAUGAAUUUAUCAUAUGAAUA